GGGUUGUGAGGUUAAGCGACUAAGCGUACACGGUGGAUGCCCUGGCAGUCAGAGGCGAUGAAGGACGUGCUAAUCUGCGAAAAGCGUCGGUAAGGUGAUAUGAACCGUUAUAGCCGGCGAUGUCCGAAUGGGGAAACCCAGUGUGAUUCGUCACACUAUCGUUAACUGAAUACAUAGGUUAACGAGGCGAACCGGGGGAACUGAAACAUCUAAGUACCCCGAGGAAAAGAAAUCAACCGAGAUUCCCCCAGUAGCGGCGAGCGAACGGGGAGCAGCCCAGAGUCUGAAUCAGCUUGUGUGUUAGUGGAACGGUCUGGAAAGUCCGACGGUACAGGGUGAUAGUCCCGUACACCAAAAUGCACAGGUUGUGAACUCGAAGAGUAGGGCGGGACACGUGGUAUCCUGUCUGAAUAUGGGGGGACCAUCCUCCAAGGCUAAAUACUCCUGACUGACCGAUAGUGAACCAGUACCGUGAGGGAAAGGCGAAAAGAACCCCGGCGAGGGGAGUGAAAAAGAACCUGAAACCGUGUACGUACAAGCAGUGGGAGCACCUUCGGGUGUGACUGCGUACCUUUUGUAUAAUGGGUCAGCGACUUAUAUUCUGUAGCAAGGUUAACCGUAUAGGGGAGCCGCAGGGAAACCGAGUCUUAACUGGGCGUUAAGUUGCAGGGUAUAGACCCGAAACCCGGUGAUCUAGCCAUGGGCAGGUUGAAGGUUGGGUAACACUAACUGGAGGACCGAACCGACUAAUGUUGAAAAAUUAGCGGAUGACUUGUGGCUGGGGGUGAAAGGCCAAUCAAACCGGGAGAUAGCUGGUUCUCCCCGAAAGCUAUUUAGGUAGCGCCUCGUGAACUCAUCUUCGGGGGUAGAGCACUGUUUCGGCUAGGGGGUCAUCCCGACUUACCAACCCGAUGCAAACUACGAAUACCGAAGAAUGUUAUCACGGGAGACACACGGCGGGUGCUAACGUCCGUCGUGAAGAGGGAAACAACCCAGACCGCCAGCUAAGGUCCCAAAGUCACAGUUAAGUGGGAAACGAUGUGGGAAGGCACAGACAGCCAGGAUGUUGGCUUAGAAGCAGCCAUCAUUUAAAGAAAGCGUAAUAGCUCACUGGUCGAGUCGGCCUGCGCGGAAGAUGUAACGGGGCUAAACUGUGCACCGAAGCUGCGGCAGCGACACUAUGUGUUGUUGGGUAGGGGAGCGUUCUGUAAGCCUGCGAAGGUGGCCUGUGAGGGUUGCUGGAGGUAUCAGAAGUGCGAAUGCUGACAUAAGUAACGAUAAUGCGGGUGAAAAGCCCGCACGCCGGAAGACCAAGGGUUCCUGUCCAACGUUAAUCGGGGCAGGGUGAGUCGACCCCUAAGGCGAGGCCGAAAGGCGUAGUCGAUGGGAAACAGGUUAAUAUUCCUGUACUUGGUGUUACUGCGAAGGGGGGACGGAGAAGGCUAUGUUAGCCGGGCGACGGUUGUCCCGGUUUAAGCAUGUAGGCGGAGGUUCCAGGUAAAUCCGGUACCUUUUUAACGCUGAGGUGUGAUGACGAGGCACUACGGUGCUGAAGUAACAAAUGCCCUGCUUCCAGGAAAAGCCUCUAAGCAUCAGGUAACAUCAAAUCGUACCCCAAACCGACACAGGUGGUCAGGUAGAGAAUACCAAGGCGCUUGAGAGAACUCGGGUGAAGGAACUAGGCAAAAUGGUGCCGUAACUUCGGGAGAAGGCACGCUGAUAUGUAGGUGAAGCCCCUGCGGGUGGAGCUGAAAUCAGUCGAAGAUACCAGCUGGCUGCAACUGUUUAUUAAAAACACAGCACUGUGCAAACACGAAAGUGGACGUAUACGGUGUGACGCCUGCCCGGUGCCGGAAGGUUAAUUGAUGGGGUUAUCCGUAAGGAGAAGCUCUUGAUCGAAGCCCCGGUAAACGGCGGCCGUAACUAUAACGGUCCUAAGGUAGCGAAAUUCCUUGUCGGGUAAGUUCCGACCUGCACGAAUGGCGUAAUGAUGGCCAGGCUGUCUCCACCCGAGACUCAGUGAAAUUGAACUCGCUGUGAAGAUGCAGUGUACCCGCGGCAAGACGGAAAGACCCCGUGAACCUUUACUAUAGCUUGACACUGAACAUUGAGCCUUGAUGUGUAGGAUAGGUGGGAGGCUUUGAAGCGUGGACGCCAGUCUGCGUGGAGCCAACCUUGAAAUACCACCCUUUAAUGUUUGAUGUUCUAACGUGGACCCGUAAUCCGGGUUGCGGACAGUGUCUGGUGGGUAGUUUGACUGGGGCGGUCUCCUCCCAAAGAGUAACGGAGGAGCACGAAGGUUAGCUAAUCCUGGUCGGACAUCAGGAGGUUAGUGCAAUGGCAUAAGCUAGCUUGACUGCGAGCGUGACGGCGCGAGCAGGUGCGAAAGCAGGUCAUAGUGAUCCGGUGGUUCUGAAUGGAAGGGCCAUCGCUCAACGGAUAAAAGGUACUCCGGGGAUAACAGGCUGAUACCGCCCAAGAGUUCAUAUCGACGGCGGUGUUUGGCACCUCGAUGUCGGCUCAUCACAUCCUGGGGCUGAAGUAGGUCCCAAGGGUAUGGCUGUUCGCCAUUUAAAGUGGUACGCGAGCUGGGUUUAGAACGUCGUGAGACAGUUCGGUCCCUAUCUGCCGUGGGCGCUGGAGAAUUGAGGGGGGCUGCUCCUAGUACGAGAGGACCGGAGUGGACGCAUCACUGGUGUUCGGGUUGUCAUGCCAAUGGCAUUGCCCGGUAGCUAAAUGCGGAAGAGAUAAGUGCUGAAAGCAUCUAAGCACGAAACUUGCCCCGAGAUGAGUUCUCCCUGAGACUUUAAGUCUCCUGAAGGAACGUUAAAGACGAUGACGUUGAUAGGUCGGGUGUGUAAGCGUAGCGAUACGUUGAGCUAACCGAUACUAAUGAACCGUGAGGCUUAACCUUACAACGCCGAAG
rnacentral:rRNA from 1 species